UACGGAGGAUCCGAGCGUUAUCCGGAAUUACUGGGCGUAAAGGGUGCGUAGGUGGUUUCUUAAGUCAGAGGUGAAAGGCUACGGCUCAACCGUAGUAAGCCUUUGAAACUGGGAAACUUGAGUGCAGGAGAGGAGAGUGGAAUUCCUAGUGUAGCGGUGAAAUGCGUAGAUAUUAGGAGGAACACCAGUUGCGAAGGCGGCUCUCUGGACUGUAACUGACACUGAGGCACGAAAGCGUGGGGAGCAAACAGGAUUAGAUACCCUGGUAGUCCCUGA
rnacentral:rRNA from 1 species